CACAUAUGGCGAGCUGAUAGAAACCAACAUGGAGGAGAUACACCAGAACUGCUGAAAUCCCCCAAGUAAGAACAUCAAGUUACGGCAUCAACUCUUUCCGUUUCGGGGCUGCCAAACUGUGGAACUCUCUCCCCCAACAUUUCAGGGACCAAGUACAUUUCAACCAGUUCUCCAGUUUGGUUAGCUCUUGGGACGGUGAGAGCUGCCGCUGCUCCUAUUGCAUGUAUCAAACAUAGCUGCUAAAUUUUUGCUUUUUGUUGUUGCUUGCAUGCUCUAUGUUUUCAUGCAUACUGUGAUAUAAGCUUAUCAUUGUGUAUUUAAAAAGUGCUUAAAGUGAUUAAUAAGCCAAAUACAAGUACUUUUGAAAAAACUUUUUAUUUGGCUUUUUGUUGCUAGCUCGUUUAAAGUGCUACAUUUUUUAGAUUUUGUUGCUUGCUUGCUUUUGUGUUGCAUGCACACUGUGAUAUACCCUUUUCUUUUUACUCAUGCAACGAACCUGAUUUUAAUAUAAAUAUGUAAGUUAAAUCAUUAUAAGUAAAAUAAACUUUCAUUGAAUAUGUAAGUGCUUAAAUUUUGGCUUUUUGUUGCUUGCUUGUUUAAGUUGCUAAAAUUUUGGCUGCUUGUUGCUUGCAUGUUUCUUAUGUUUCAUGCACACUGUGAUAUAUGCUUUUUUAUAAAUAAGCUUAAUCAUUAUUAAGUAAAUAUACUUUCAUCACAACUAUUGUAAAUCCUUUAAGUAAAUAAUUAUGUUUUAAUUACAAGCUUACUUUUU